GCCCAGCCCGUCAGGAGUAGGAGCAACAACACCAACUCAUCCACCAGCAAAAAAGCCAUAGCCUACAAUUGACAAAACAAGACACUACCCAUUCCAGACACAGAACAGGUGUUGAUUCCCCUUCUGACUGAAACUAUUUGAUGAAUCAAUGGAUCAACAAGAAAAUGAAAACACAGCUCUUAGCCAAGUCGCGGCUGGAAUCGCGCUUUCGCUGUUGGCUGCUUUUGUCGCCACCGUGUGGUGGUUCGACCGCCAGAAACGAACCAGCGAGAGUCCUACCAGACCGCGCAUGGAAGGGGACCGAUCAGUAUUCAAGGUGCCCCAGAGCCCGCCACCCAAGACACCAAAACCCUCCGUUUUUGAGCCAAUCUCAGAGCCUGAAGUCCAGGAAGCGGUGGGACAAUUUGAAGACACAGAGGAGGCAGAAGAGAACAUGGUUUCCUAGUUUAAAUGUAUUCCUGUUUUAUCUGUCCUGUAUUUUCUACAAAUAUUUUUUGAACUUACAAAAGACAUUGUAUUGUGUUAAUUGUGGAACGCUUUUCUAUUAUUUCUUCCUCUUUACAUUUCCCUGUUACAGAAUCCUUUCAGAAAUAAUCUAGCCAAAGAGAAGUAGAAAACUAGAAGUUGUUGAAGCACCAUUUAAACAAAAUCUUAUUUUGCUUUAGAUAUCAAUAGAUUUUGACCCAGUUAGGCUAUUCAUGACAUUUAGUUGUCAUUAUUUAAAAAUACCUUAUAUUUUUGUAAUUAAUACAACUUAGUGACACAAUAAUAAAGGAAUACCAAUCUAAGUGUUUGGUUCAUCUCAGGGCCGGCCCCAGGGCUUUUAGGGCUGUUUUCUUUGUAUUGAUGACAUUUCCAUUUUCUCUCCAUCCCCUGCUGAGCAAGAGUAACAUGUAUGCCAUGUUCUCCAGCGCCAUCAGGAGAAUGAGCUUUAAGUAAAGGUUUGGAAGUGGGAAUUACACCCCAAGUCCCCUCGGUGUCCUGUCUAGGGUACAACAUACGGGCCAAGGGCAGGUGAAGAUGACCUCGCAAAGGUAGCUCCUCUGGCAGAAUUGCCCGGCCCGCCGAAUCUCCAUCAGGACAAACCCACGGGUAGCCCCGGUCUGUCCUCCAGCAGGGGGACAGGUUAAUCAACCGACUAGCGUGCCCGACUCUUCCUGGUCGUGUCUUGGGCCAAGCUAGGGUAGGAUUACAAAGUUCUGAAAACCAAACGCCUGGGGUCACGUACCAAACAACAAGGGUAGGAACUUCCCGAGACCCCGUAAAAAGGGGGGGACGAAUGAUCAAGAGUUCAACCGUUGCCCUGGGUUACUGUCACUGACUUUCAUGUUUGCCGUCCCCGAUUUAACGGAUUUACCGGAAGGCGGGUUGGAUGUCCCGUAUCCACGUCCCGUAAUAGGGAUUCAAACAAAGCAUUUAAAUGAAGAUUAAUGGAUAAUUAACAGAGGUGGAUGAAGUAAGGGUAGAUGGACCAGGAAAAAAAUAAACUUAUUCAACUAACCUAUAAACAAGCAUCAUAGUAAGAAAAGAAAAGCAUGCUCUAUGCUCAUUCUAAUAGCACAUACUUUGGUUUCCUCUUUUCAACAUCCGCAAGUACUUAUUAAACAUUUUAUCAUCAUACAGACAAGAACAUAUUAAACAUUUAGUAUCAAGCAGACAAGUACAUACAAAACAUUCUGGUAUCAGGCAGGCAAGUACAUAUGUGGUACCAUUCAAUAGAGGUACAGUACGGAAGUCCCCAAGUCAGGAAAUCCUAUAAAGACCCCUGCCAUGGUGGUAUGGCUGAUCAGUUCAUUGUCAUAUCCAUUAGAAGGCAAACCUGUAGAUGCCCAACAUCUGUCUGGUCCUUCAAGUAAUGUUUAAAAACAAUGUAAAAAGACGGAACUGUUGGGAGGAGCGUACAACUCAGAAAUUCACACCAACUUUGGGUGCCCCCCAUGUUGUUUUUGUUGUGUGGUUGGGACAUUUCAAACUGCACAUCCAAAACACUUUUGCAAUAUCGAAAAACAAUCAUUAUUUUUCAACUAAAUAGAAAACACAACUGCAAAAGAUGAAUGAUGUAUUGAUUCCACCUGCCCGCUUAAACAGCAUUCCGCAGUUUGUGUGGCGCAAGUGAAGGUAAAGUUUCAAAGAUUACUUUUAUUAGAAUUAGAUUUAGGCUAUUCUAUACUGUAUAAGUAUAUAAAUAUACAAAUAGUAAAAAGUAAAUAAUAAUAUUGAGGUUUUUCCUUUCAGGUUUUUCGUUAAUGCACUGAAUUUGCAAAGCGGGUAGAUAUGCAUGUUAGUUUGACACAACUCGGCCACCAUAAUUUGAGCCCUGAACAACCGCAAAGAGUGGUCAUGCUAAAAAGCCUUGUAUGGGUAUAGCAACAUUAAAGAUAAAAUACUGGUGAAAAAAAUGAAUGGUUUUGUUAUAAUCUAGGAUACAGAGCAGAUAAAAGAAUGUCGACUCAUAAGGAUAAUUGCAAGAAAGAUAUAAAUCAUAUUGAUUCCAGUCUAGUUAUAGACACUACUUAGACAUACCAAACACAUAUACAUUGGCAGUAUUACUAUAAUAUUGCCCACAAACACAUAAACAUCAUGUCUGAUUACGCUAUAAGCGCAAACACUUCUUUGGCCACAAUUGUGAUUAUUCAGUUGAAACAAACAUUGAAGUGGCAAUCUCAAAGAUCUUUCUUUAAGAUAAAUGUCAGUUAAGUCAUUAUCUAUCGCCGAGUGAUAGAAACACAAUGGG